GAUUAAGAAAACAGGAAGGUAGGGAGGAGACGGGACUUGUGAAUUUGUGGAAAGACUUGAGAUUUUAUUUUUUAUAUCUGAUUUUAUAUUAUAGAUAUGUAUAUAUCUGAUUUUAUAUUUGUCUUGGAGAUAAUAGGCAACCAUUGGAAUUUGAUGAUGAGAUGGAUGGCACAGGUUGACAUGACCAGUGUUCUAGGAACAUCACUUUGGUGGGUGAUGAAUGUAGAGACUUAUAGUCAGGCUCACCCACCAGAGGGCUAAUGCGGUUAUAAUAUAGCUAUGGGAUGGAUGAGGGCCUGUGAAAGGGUGGCAGGUGAGUAGAGAGAAGGAGCCAUAUAAGAGAGGCUUUUUUUGUUUUAAAAUAAUAAUAGCUUUUUAUUUUUUAAAAUACAUGCAAAGAUGGUUUUCAACAUUCACUAUAAUAACUUUGUAUUGACAGAAUCCAUGCCAGGAUAAUUUUUACACAACAUUAUCCCUUGCAAUCACUUAUGUUUCGUUUUUUCCCCUCCCUCCCUCCUCCCCACCCCCAAGAUGGCAAGCAGUCCUAUAUAUCAACAUUCACUCUUGUAAAACCUUGUGUUCCGAAUUUUUCACCCUCCCUCCCCUUCUCCCCUAGACAGCAUGUAACCCAAAAUAGGUUAAACAUGUGCCAUUCUUCUAAACAUGUUUCCACUUUUAUCACGCUGCAUAAGAAAAAUCAGAUCAAAAGAGGGAAAAAAUAAGAAAAAGUAAACAAGAAAACAACCCCCCGCAGAAAAGGUGAAAAUCCUGCGUUGGGAUCCACAUUCAGGCCCUGGAUGCGGACGGUUCUCUGCAUCCCAAGUCUAUUGGCAUUGGUCUGAAUUGUUGCAAAGAGCCCCGUUGGUCAGAGCUGGCCAUCACCUAACCUUGUUGCUGUGUACAAUGUUCCCUUGGUUCUGCUCACCUCACUCAGCAUCAGCCACGAGAAAAGUUUUGAGGGAACAGAAAUACAGACAAAGCUCUUCCGUCGGUCCCACCGGACCAGAUCUACCUGCUUAGUUCUGGUCCUGGCGGAAAGCGCAGGGAAUGAAGGAAAACCAGACUUUUGUCUUUAAAGCUUGGGGAAGUGAGUUGUGGCAGGAAGGGUGGUAGGAGGUGAGGAGGAGGAUGAAAGGGGAAGGAGAGCAGGAACCUGGGAAGGGAAAGGGUUAAGAGAGUGGAGUGGGGGUGGGGAGAGCCAGCCUAUGGCAGGAGGACACACCUGUGUGGCGGCCCUUUGCAGGCGUGGCCCAGGUGAGCUAGGCAGCCGGAGGGAGGUGGCUAGGCAGAGGCCCUGAUGCUAGGCCUGUGGACACAAGGCUGCAGGUUCUCUGUCGUCCCCUCCUGACCCCGGAAGUCAGUGCACUGUGGGGUCCAGAGGCAGUAUUUUUUCUCAAGAAAUACAGGUACCAGUCCUUGAAGUGGAAACAAUGUUCCGGUUGUAGGAGAGAACAUUCCCGCCAAUUCAAAAAUCUUCAAUUGGCAGAGAUGAGGUCAGGUUAGCUAGAUGAAUGGAAACUGGUAGUUAAAUGUUCUAAGGCUGUUGCCAAGAUGAGCUGUUACAUUUCCUGGAGGCGUGGACUGGAUACUGGACCAGGCCAAGGAACAUCAAUACUAAAAUAAUUGAGGACAGACCUAGGCUUGAAUGACACUUGAGGAAGGAUGGAGGAAUGAUAUACAUCCCUUCUGAAGAUGAAGUCUCGUCUUCCUGGGGAAGGAACUCCAAACCAAAGUCAUUCUCUCAAACAGAGCAAAACACUCCUAAGAGAACAUGGACAAAUAAAUCAUUGGCCUUCAAGGUUCCUUCACUCACUUCUAAGGAGAGGGAACACAUCGACCACAAGGUGUGCUACAACCUCAGGCUCAGGCAGGUGACCUGGUCUUUGAUAUUGAUGCCCCACUUUUAUUUUAUUAUCUGCAACUUUAUCUACCCCUCUCAAAAAAGCAAGUCUGCACUGAGCUUCUGCACUGUUGCUAGGCACUGAGCCCAUUUCUUUAGCCACAAAAUGAAAAUACUUCUAUGUAUUCUGUGGGACUGUGUUGAAAAUAUUUAUGAAUUUUUCUUUACCAAGGAGGUUAGAGACUGUUGUACCUUAGGUGGGCUGUGCAGAGAAUUGUGAUAAUUCUAAUGAAGCCAACAAAUUUUAUUUCCAGAUUUCAGAUUUGGAAGUGGGCUCAGAAAAAAAUUACAAUUUGUGACCAAAAUCUCCUUUUGUUUCCAACAAUUCUGUCUGAUGACUAGGGUGCCAGGCCUCCCCAGUGAACGAUAUAGGUUUUAGGUAUCUGGCCAAUAACACGGGACACUGCUGUUCUUCAUGCACAAGAAAGAAGUCGAGCAGCUGAGGGUGGUUCCAGCUCCAAAACCAGGAUCUGGGUUAAGGAGCAUCGGGGCCCGGGCCCCUGCUGACUGGCUCGCUCUUUUAGGCCUGGGCUCACUUGUGCCGCCCUUACUGAGAUCCCUGCCUCGGCCCCCAGCCCAGGCCGGACUCUGUGCACCCCCUGCUGGUGAAGCGAAGCAGCGCACCUGGGUCAGCCCCGCUCCCAGUCCUCGUUGGGGAGGAAACAAGAAGAUCGCGAGCUGCAGAGGUUCCACUUAAGUAAUAAAAAUUUAUUGAGAA